rnacentral:rRNA from 1 species
UACGAAGGGGGCUAGCGUUGCUCGGAAUCACUGGGCGUAAAGCGCACGUAGGCGGCUUUUUAAGUCAGGGGUGAAAUCCUGGAGCUCAACUCCAGAACUGCCUUUGAUACUGAGAAGCUUGGAAGUCCGGGAGAGGUGAGUGGAACUGCGAGUGUAGAGGUGAAAUUCGUAGAUAUUCGCAAGAACACCAGUGGCGAAGGCGGCUCACUGGCCCGAUACUGACGCUGAUGCACGAAAGCGUGGGGAGCAAACAGG